AUGGUCCUCUCCGUCCACGAAUCAUCACCAGGCCAAGCCGGCAACACGGUACCUCUUCUUCUGGGAGGAAUUCCCUCGAACACCCCGUGCGCGCAUCCCGCGCGACCUCUGUCCGAUCGAAUGGCGGUAACGAACUGAGCUAGGAGGGAGUACGUGGCUCCAAUGGCGUCUCUCCCCCCCUUAUCCGCCGCCGCCGCCUCUCUCCUGCGGCACCACGUCUGCUUCAGGCACCCCACCCCUUCCCGGAGCUGCUUCGCUAACAGUGAGAGUUAUGGAUGCUGCGGCGGAGUGCCUGAUGCCGGGCGUUACGCGAGGCUGCGGCUGCGGUGGAGGAGCCCGGUACGUGCCAAGGUCGGCGAGGUGGAGAAGGACAAGGGCGCCGAUUUGGGGCUCCGAACGGACCAGCCCAAGAGCCUGCGGCGGCGCCUGCGGCUCAGGCCGCGGCUGCGCGUGCUGCGGUGGCGUCUCCUGCGGCUGCUGUCGCCGCGGGAGCUCGCGGGCGACGCCGCGGCGGCGCUGCGGCGGGCCAUCCGUCGCGUGCCGCCUCCCGCGGUCGCGUCGGUCGUCCUGGGGGCUCUCCUGCUCGCCGCGCGGCUCACGCUGCCCAAAAACCCGGCCCAGGAGGUGGCCUACGCGGACCUCCUGGCGGGGCUGCGCGCGGGCGCCGUGACCGCCGUCGCCUUCGAGGAGGACUCGCGCCGCAUCUACUUCAGCAAGGCCGAGGACGCCGGCAGCGGCGACGACGAGCGCGAGACCGGCAGGGGCGCCGCCGUGCCGAAGUGGCCGUACUACGCGAGGAGGGUGCCGCACGACGAGGGGUUCCUGCUUGGGCUGAUGCGGGAGGGCGGGGUGGACUACCGGUCUGCUCCACGGCCGGCGGGGAGGCUGCUGGUGGACAUGCUGACCACGCUGCUCACGCUGUGGUUCUCACUGCUGCCGAUGAUGUGGUUCUUACAGAGGCAGAUGUCGUCUGGGGGCAGUGCGGACAAGCGCCGACGGCCCAGGAAGCAGCAGGUAGGAUUUGAUGAUGUCCAGGGCGUGGAUGAAGCCAAGGAGGAGCUUGUCGAGAUAGUGAGCUGCUUGCGUGGUUCACUGAACUACAAGAAGCUGGGAGCAAGAUUACCCAGGGGUGUUCUACUUGCUGGCCCUCCUGGAACCGGGAAAACUUUGCUGGCGAAGGCAGUUGCAGGAGAGGCUGGAAUUCCAUUCUUCUCUGUUUCUGCUAGCGAAUUUGUUGAAAUGUUUGUUGGAAGAGGAGCAGCCCGCGUGAGGGAAUUAUUCAAGGAAGCCAAAGAAGCUGCUCCGUCAAUCAUUUUUAUUGACGAACUUGAUGCUGUUGGUGGAAGCAGAGGUAGAAGUUUUAAUGAUGAGAGGGACCAAACCCUAAAUCAGCUGCUUACUGAAAUGGAUGGUUUUGACUCGGACGUGAAAGUUAUUGUCAUGGCUGCUACUAAUAGACCUAAGGCUCUGGAUUCUGCUCUUUGUCGGCCUGGUCGCUUCUCAAGAAAGGUUUUUGUUGGUGUGCCUGAUUUGGAAGGCCGCAGAAAGAUUUUGGCUGUUCAUCUCAGGAAAGUUCCUUUAGAAGAGGAAUCCGAAAUAAUUUGUGAUCUGGUAGCUAAUGUGACCCCAGGAUUGGUUGGUGCAGAUCUAGCAAACAUUGUUAAUGAGGCUGCUCUACUAGCUGCUCGAAGAGGUGGUGAUAUUGUGGCUCGGGAGGAUAUAAUGGAUGCCAUUGAGAGGGAAAAGUAUGGAGUCAAUGGUAGACAAAAGGGUCCUGAUUCUGCAAGAGAAGGCCUUACCAAGUUAUUUCCAUGGUUACCUAAACCUGGAAAUAAACCAUCAAAUCCAGAUGAUUUUCAAGGACUUAUGGGUUAUCAUACGUUAAGCUAACUGGGGUUUUUCAAGGUUAUCAUGGCCCAUGCAUGGAGCCCGCACAAUAAUUGCCAUCCUGGUAACGGACUUAGCGGCCUAGACGGGAGGUGCAACGUUCUGGUGACGGGUUUCCAUGAUCCACAGAGGAGAUAAGCAUCAACUGACAUGGUAUCAAAAUCGUCCAUGAACUAGGGGACCUGCUGGGUACAAUUGCAAGGCAGCAAAAUAUACAAUUCAAGUCUAUUUGUGAAGGAGACUGCACUCUGCACCCAGUGGGGCGGCGGACUGGUGCAUUAUUCGGUGAAUUUUGAUGCGACUCGACCAGCAGAAAACUGUUACAGAUGAUAAUAGAUUAGCAUGUGAAUUUGCAAUACACGCUCCAUGAAUUUGACCAGUGACUCGGAUCAAUUUUACGCGCCGUAAUAUUGAUACAGGCACUUAAACCUGGUGUUGUUCCAUAGCUCACAAUGUCUAAUAGAAUAGUCUGCAUUAGUUUACAAGAUAGGGUCACACCAAUUCUGCUGUACAUGAACUUGCCAUUUGGUUCACUUUGUACCAUCUAGUAGUUCCACUGCAAUUGGAUCCACAACAAUGUGUAUUAGGAUCGCAAGAUAGAAGUGCUCAGCAGAUCAGCCAGUCUUUAUGCCGUGCCGCAUUUCUGGUUAUGUCAUUCACAUCUUCCUUUUCUCUGUAAAUUGACUGUUGUGGAUAGAUUUGUUAGCUCUCAAAUAUGAUAAUUUCCAAUUUAUUGUA